rnacentral:rRNA from 1 species
CCGGCGACCGGCGCACGGGUGAGUAACACGUAUGCGACCUGCCCGUAGCAGGGGGAUAAGCGGAAGAAAUUCCGUCUAAUACCGCGUAAUAUCUUUCGGGGGCAUCCCUGAGGGAUUAAAGGAAGUGAUUCCGGCUACGGAUGGGCAUGCGGCGCAUUAGCUAGUCGGCGGGGUAACGGCCCACCGAGGCGACGAUGCGUAGGGGUUCUGAGAGGAAGGUCCCCCACACUGGUACUGAGACACGGACCAGACUCCUACGGGAGGCAGCAG